rnacentral:tRNA from 1 species
UUAAUUAAAACCAAAAUAGAGGUAAAUUAUUGUUAAUAAUUUUAUUGAAUUUAUAUGUUCUAAUUAAU